ACUGGCUCUCCACGUGGCUUGCAUUCGCUAUGUGGCUGGCCCUGGCUCUCCACGUGGCUCGCCUUGGCUCCCUAUGUGGCUCCCUUGGGCUCCCUAUGCAGCUGGCACUGGCACUCUAAGUGGCUUGCCCUGGCUCCCUAUGCGGCUGGCACUGGCACUCUAAGUGGCUUGCCCUGGCUCCCUAUGCGGCUUGCACUGGCACUCUAAGUGGCUUGCAUCAGCUCCCUAUGUGGCUUGCACCAGCUCCCUAUGC
rnacentral:lncRNA from 1 species